UGAGGGAAAUGUGACCGAACCUGCAGCUCAACAUUAGGGAGAUAAAAGAUCUUGUAGAAUUUUCCCUGAACAAAGCUGGAAGUCACAGACACCCGGCACCUUCCAGAUAGAGGACACAGAGAUAGUGUAGCCGGUUAUAGGAGGUAUGUGUGUGUGUGUGUGUGUCCUUCAGCGUAUGCAACACACUUCUCUGUUUGUUCAAUCAAUCUGUUGUGGCAGGUGCACGGCGCUUUGUGUGUGUGUGUGUAUGUGUGUGUGUGUGCUGCUGCUGCGAGGAGGUGUUAGGAAAAAGUGUGAAAGAGACAGAAAUAAAGAACAAAAGGGGGAAGAUGAAGAAGAGGGUUUUACAACAACGGAGGCAGCAAAAACUCUGCCCUCUGAAUCAUCAGCUCACUGUGCAACACGGAGCACUUUACAUUUCCAAGGAACGUCUCAAGGUGUCAUGUCAUCACAUUCCAAGGAUACAGAAUGCUGCAUGCCUUGCACAAUAUCAUCUUCUGUUCAUACACGUGGCACCUUCAUCUGGAUUUCUUGAGAAAGGUUGGCCGCCGCAACACAGAAAAUUCCCCAUUCACGGGCUGUAAAUGCUCAAUUCUCAGUAUUCUCUGAAGGCUGUUUGAAGAGGAGGUGGAGCGACGCUCAUGAAUGAUGCAUGCAAAAUGAGCCCCCAAAAUAAAUGUCAAUCAAUGCUGUAAAUGUGUGUUGAACUGAUGAAAAAUGGAUAGCGUGUAAUCCUCCCGUCGUCCAUCAUAAUUCCAUAUUUUUGAAAUAAAGAAUGCACGCGUCGGCUUCGAUCUUGAGGCGGCGGGAGAAAACGCCUUGAAUUCAUAAUGCACGCCGGCAAAUUUAGCAAAUGUUGAGGCCAAACAUGAGAAAUGCAACUGCAGGGUGAGAUUAACGGCUGAUUAAACCAUGACUGAUUAAAUCAA